rnacentral:rRNA from 1 species
UACGGAGGGUGCAAGCGUUGUCCGGAUUCAUUGGGUUUAAAGGGUGCGUAGGCGGACAUAUAAGUCAGUGGUGAAAUUCCGGGGCUCAACCUCGGAUGUGGCAUUGAUACUGUAAGUCUUGAGUCUAGUCGAGGUAGCUGGAAUGUGUAGUGUAGCGGUGAAAUGCACAGAUAUUACACAGAACGCCGAUUGCGAAGGCAGGUUACUAGGCUGGCACAGACGCUGAUGCACGAAAGUGUGGGGAGCAAACAGG